rfam:Ictidomys tridecemlineatus contig078469, whole genome shotgun sequence.
GGGGUUGUGGCUCAGCAGUAGAGUGCUCACCUCGCAUGUGUGGGGCCCUGGGUUCGAUCCUCAGCACCCACA